CUUAUCCCAUGAUGCAAAUUGUUUCACUCAACCACCCUUCCAUGACAAUGCAAUGGAUAAG
rnacentral:sRNA from 1 species